UGGGGAAUCUUCCGCAAUGGACGAAAGUCUGACGGAGCAACGCCGCGUGAGUGAAGACGGCCUUCGGGUUGUAAAGCUCUGUGAUCCGGGACGAAAGAGCCUGAGGUGAAUAGCCUAAGGAAGUGACGGUACCGGAAAAGCAAGCCACGGCUAACUACGUGCCAGCAGCCGCGGUAAUACGUAGGUGGCAAGCGUUGUCCGGAAUUAUUGGGCGUAAAGCGCGCGCAGGCGGCUUCCUAAGUCCAUCUUAAAAGUGCGGGGCUUAACCCCGUGAUGGGAUGGAAACUGGGAAACUGGAGUAUCGGAGAGGAAAGUGGAAUUCCUAGUGUAGCGGUGAAAUGCGUAGAGAUUAGGAAGAACACCGGUGGCGAAGGCGACUUUCUGGACGAAAACUGACGCUGAGGCGCGGAAGCGUGGGGAGCAAACAGG
rnacentral:rRNA from 1 species